rnacentral:rRNA from 1 species
GAGUUUGAUCCUGGCUCAGAUUGAACGCUGGCGGAAUGCUUUACACAUGCAAGUCGAGCGGCAGCACGGGGGCAACCCUGGUGGCGAGCGGCGAACGGGUGAGUAAUACAUCGGAACACGCCCAGUCGUGGGGGAUAACACUUCGAAAGAAGUGCUAAUGCCGCAUACGUCCUGAGGGAGAAAGCGGGGGAUCGCAAGACCUCGCGCGAUUGGAGUGGCCGAUGUCAGAUUAGCUAGUUGGUGGGGUAAAGGCCUACCAAGGCAACGAUCUGUAGCUGGUCUGAGAGGAUGAUCAGCCACACUGGGACUGAGACACGGCCCAGACUCCUACGGGAGGCAGCAGUGGGGAAUUUUGGACAAUGGGGGCAACCCUGAUCCAGCCAUUCCGCGUGAGUGAAGAAGGCCUUCGGGUUGUAAAGCUCUUUCGGCAGGAACGAAACGGUGAGCUCUAACAUAGCUUGCUAAUGACGGUACCUGAAGAAGAAGCACCGGCUAACUACGUGCCAGCAGCCGCGGUAAUACGUAGGGUGCGAGCGUUAAUCGGAAUUACUGGGCGUAAAGCGUGCGCAGGCGGUUGUGUAAGACAGGUGUGAAAUCCCCGGGCUUAACCUGGGAACUGCGCUUGUGACUGCACAGCUAGAGUAUGGCAGAGGGGGGUGGAAUUCCACGUGUAGCAGUGAAAUGCGUAGAGAUGUGGAGGAACACCGAUGGCGAAAGCAGCCCCCUGGGCCAAUACUGACGCUCAUGCACGAAAGCGUGGGGAGCAAACAGGAUUAGAUUCCCUGGUAGUCCACGCCCUAAACGAUGUCGACUAGGUGUUCGGUGAGGAGACUCAUCGAGUACCGCAGCUAACGCGUGAAGUCGACCGCCUGGGGAGUACGGUCGCAAGAUUAAAACUCAAGGAAUUGACGG